UUAAAUUGAAGAGUUUGAUCAUGGCUCAGAUUGAACGCUGGCGGCAGGCCUAACACAUGCAAGUCGAACGGUAACAGGAAACAGCUUGCUG
rnacentral:rRNA from 21 species